CAAAAGUUUUUAAUCAACAUGCUUUUCCAGUGGACCUUUAUUGGGAAAAGUUGUUUCAGAUGGGCGGCUAGGAGCA
rnacentral:misc_RNA from 1 species